AAAAUGAAAACAUGACUUUAUUUGGAUAUAGAGUUUUUGCAGAUACAAUGUAGGUAGAACGAGAUGACAUGCCUGGGCCCUCACCCAGUGACUAGUGUCCUUACAGGAAGGAGGGAGUUGGACACACACAGAUAGUACCACCCAGAGAUGGCAGUAGAGUUUGGAAUGUUGCAUCUACAAGUCAAGGCGUGUUGCUGGCCCAGUUGGAACUGAGAAGAGGUAUCUGUUGCAGCAUCCCAGGGAAGACAUCCACAGAGGGGCCUGGCUUGCCUUUCCUGAGUGUAUCCUGGACCGCUGCAGAGGGAAGGAAGAUGCUGUCGUCCAUUCAGUUGCAGGGCCUCAUGGGGAGUGAGGCACAAGGCUUUGAUGAUUAAAGGGAAAUCAACAUGGGGCCAAGGGGAUCUUCAGGAGGGAGGUGUGACUCUCACAGCCAAGGUUUGGAGCCAGAGAAGUAGGUAUUGAAGAUGGAGAGACCAGUCAGGUGUGGUCAGGGAGGCAGGGGUGAUGAUGGAGCAGAACCUGGAGCCAGAGGCCACUGGUGUUGAAUACAAGGAGAGACCUGAACUUUGGUGUCAUGAUAAGGAGCUUUGGCAAUAAGACAGCAAAGGCACAGGAGUGACAGGAGAAGGUUUGCUCCUCAAGAGAUACACGAGGAUGAUGGACAUGGUCAACCCUGUGGCACAAUGGUACCCUGAGGAGAGAAGAGAAUCACACAUUCCUCAAGCACUGGGGUCCUCAAGAGAGGGGAGUCAUACAGAGGUUGGGAGUCCAACACUGCUGUCAUGAUACUGAGAACCAGGGUCUUGGGGGUGACCAAGGCAAGAGGAAGAAGGAAGAGGGAUCAGAGACAUUGAUGUAGAGACAUGGCCUCCAAAGGGAGUCGUUGCUGACAUACAAAGCAAGCAUGAUUCUCCUGAAAGGACCAUGAAACCCUGGAAGGAAGAAAAAGCUCCAUGAAGCUGUGACUCAGGAGCCAAGCACGCUGGUCCUCACCCUGUGGGCGGUGGGGUUACAUUGAACGAGAUGCAGGGGUUAGAAUCCCAGGCGUGUGCGUGGGAGGCUGGCUGCGACCGGGAAAGAGUUAAUAAUUAAACUAUUUGUG
rnacentral:lncRNA from 1 species